GAUGAACGCUGGCGGCGUGCCUAAUACAUGCAAGUCGAGCGAACAGACGAGGAGCUUGCUCCUCUGACGUUAGCGGCGGACGGGUGGGUAACACGUGGAUAACCUACCUAUAAGACUGGGAUAACUUCGGGAAACCGGAGCUAAUACCGGAUAAUAUAUUGAACCGCAUGGUUCAAUAGUGAAAGACGGUUUUGCUGUCACUUAUAGAUGGAUCCGCGCCGCAUUAGCUAGUUGGUAAGGUAACGGCUUACCAAGGCGACGAUGCGUAGCCGACCUGAGAGGGUGAUCGGCCACACUGGAACUGAGACGCGGUCCAGACUCCUACGGGAGGCAGCAGUAGGGAAUCUUCCGCAAUGGGCGAAAGCCUGACGGAGCAACGCCGCGUGAGUGAUGAAGGUCUUCGGAUCGUAAAACUCUGUUAUUAGGGAAGAACAAAUGUGUAAGUAACUAUGCACGUCUUGACGGUACCUAAUCAGAAAGCCACGGCUAACUACGUG
rnacentral:rRNA from 1 species